ensembl:lncRNA
GUGCUCAGGUGCAUGGGCUCAGCAGUCGUGGUGCAUGGGCUUAGUUGCCCUGUGGCAUGUGGAAUCUUCCCAGAUCAGGGACUGAACCUGUGUCCCCUGCAUUCCCACCAGGGAAGUCCUGAAGAACUUUUAAAAUUCAAGUAGGAAAACUCUGAGAUCUCCGUGUCUAUCUAGAUGUAUGUAUGUCUCUGUGUGUGUUAUGAAUGUGAUGUUUCUACCUCUGGAUGAUAUCAUCAAUAUGAAUUUGUAAAAGAGCUUUAUUUGAUUGACUUAAAAGUGACCUCUUAUACUGUGCUUAGUUGCUCAGUUGUGUCCAGCUCUCUGCGACCUCAUGGGCUGUAUUCCAUAGGGUCUCAAAGAUUCGGAUACGACUAAAGCGACUUGGCACAAGUUUGCUGAAAGUCAAUAAGUUCAUGUUAUCUAUGUCACAAAAUUUCUCAGCAAGAAAAUUAACUUGGUGUGAUGAUAUUUUCACAAGUAAUGAAGUACAGAUAAAUGAGAUAAAAGUUUUAGGUGAGCUCUUAAAGAAUGAUUAUGUUUUAUGGUAUGUCUAAAUGCAGUUUCUCCAGAUUUUUGGUAAUUUGAAACUCCAGAGUUUUGUUAAAUUAGGAUAGAUGAUGGGAAUUUUUUUUGAUAUCCAGAUCAUUUCCAAUUAAGAUAAAAAUACCAAACCUUCAUUGCUAAACAUGUCUAAAUGUACCUACUUUGUUGUCUUACA